GAUGAACGCUGGCGGCGUGCCUAAUACAUGCAAGUCGAGCGAACGGACGAGAAGCUUGCUUCUCUGAUGUUAGCGGCGGACGGGUGAGUAACACGUGGAUAACCUACCUAUAAGACUGGGAUAACUUCGGGAAACCGGAGCUAAUACCGGAUAAUAUUUUGAACCGCAUGGUUCAAAAGUGAAAGACGGUCUUGCUGUCACUUAUAGAUGGAUCCGCGCUGCAUUAGCUAGUUGGUAAGGUAACGGCUUACCAAGGCAACGAUGCAUAGCCGACCUGAGAGGGUGAUAGGCCACACUGGAACUGAGACACGGUCCAGACGCCUACGGGAGGCAGCAGUAGGGAAUCUUCCGCAAAGGGCGAAAGCCUGACGGAGCAACGCCGCGUGAGUGAUGAAGGUCUUCGGAUCGUAAAACUCUGUUAUUAGGGAAGAACAUAUGUGUAAGUAACUGUGCACAUCUUGACGGUACCUAAUCAGAAAGCCACGGCUAACUACGUG
rnacentral:rRNA from 1 species